rnacentral:rRNA from 1 species
CCUACGGGAGGCAGCAGUGAGGAAUAUUGGUCAAUGGGCGGAAGCCUGAACCAGCCAAGUAGCGUGCGGGAUGAAGGCCCUACGGGUCGUAAACCGCUUUUGCACGGGGAUAACACCCUCCACUUGUGGAGGUCUGCAGGUACCGUGCGAAUAAGGGCCGGCUAAUUCCGUGCCAGCAGCCGCGGUAAUACGGAGGAUGCGAGCGUUAUCCGGAUUUAUUGGGUUUAAAGGGUGCGCAGGCGGCGAGUUAAGUCAGCGGUAAAAUUUCGGGGCUCAACCCCGACAAGCCGUUGAAACUGGCUUGCUAGAGUGGGCGAGAAGUAUGCGGAAUGCGUGGUGUAGCGGUGAAAUGCUUAGAUAUCACGAAGAACUCCGAUUGCGAAGGCAGCUCACUGGACUGCAACUGACACUGAGGCUCGAAAGUGUGGGUAUCAAAUAGGAUUAGAUACCCGGGUAGUC